GCAGCCUGCAACUCGGCUGCAUGAAGCCGGAAUCGCUAGUAAUCNCGGAUCAGAAUGCCGCGGUGAAUACGUUCCCGGGUCUUGUACACACCGCCCGUCACACCAUGGGAGUCGGGAAUGCCCGAAGUCGGUGAGCUAACGAAAGAGGCAGCCGCCGAAGGCAGGCCCGGUAACUGGGGUGAAGUCGUAACAAGGUACC
rnacentral:rRNA from 1 species